rnacentral:siRNA from 1 species
UGUUUGGGAGUAGCCAUAUAGC